ensembl:lncRNA novel transcript
AAAGGGAGAGGGUGAGGGAGUUGUGGAGCGACAGCGACAGAGCCUUGGAGAGGGAGGCUCUGCUCAGGAUUUGUCCCCAGUGCCUUAUUUAGUUCACUUGGUGAGGUCAUGUUUUCCUGGAUGGAGUUGAUGCUAGUAGAUGUUCUUCAGUGUCUGGACAUUAAAAUCUUGGGCAUGCAACACCAUAUGAGAGGUUUAAAAAAUAAAAUUUAAAGAGAGAAAAGUGGUGGGAUUGCUGAAUCAGACAGAGCCAAUAGAUGAUCAGUAAUGGUGGCCAAUCAUCAGCUAGAAAGAAAGUGCUUAGCAGGGCUUGAAAACACCAAAACUCUGAGACCACUGACCUUCAAAAACUUCAACAGCCCUGAGUGAAAAGCCCAAACACAUUUAUCUACCAUUCAAAGACGCUUCAUUGUCUGUUCUCUGUGCAUCUCAGUAGUCUCUUUUUACCACACUGUCUAUAUACUGCAUGAGCCAUUUAUAUGAAACUAUCUGACACUCCAAGGCAUCUUAUACUAUAUAUUCAACCAUGUAUCCCUAGUACCUAGCACAGUCCUGGCAUAUAGUUUGCUACUAAACUUUUACAGAAUGAAGGAAUUAUCUUGUAUCCAGGUUCCAAGUUUUAAGGUGAUUCUUCACUAAAAAAAGUAUUACAGUUCACAAAUAAUCUACUUCCCUUUUUACAAAUGGGAUCAAUUUUAAUCUUAUCUCCUAAUAACAUUACUUUCAUUUACUCUGAUCUAAAUAUACUGUCCUAAGAGAGCAAUAAGAAAGAGAGUUGAAGCUGGAGUUUGAAGAAUUGUACAUGGUCCUGUGAUACCCUACCUUGUUUUAACCUGAGUGACUCUCUCCUAGCAGAGAGAGAGCCGGACAGACUCCAUUUUAGUUUCUUCACGUGCAUCCCCCUUUACCUCCCACCCUUAAUUGCAUAACUAGUGUAAACUAACUCAAAGCAGGUCCAGGAAUGCACUUACUGAUAAGAUAUUGAGGCAAGCUGCACCAGCUGCUCCUGGGUACGCACUCGGUGAAUGUCACGCAAAACCCCUGCAUUUCUCUCUUUGUGAUGGUUUAAGCCCCUGCACCUGGAACUGUUUAUUUGUUUUGUAACUGUUAUUGUAACCAAUUAAUUUUUUAACUAUUUGCCAGCUCUGCUUCUGUAAAACUUGUUUCAGCUAAACUCCCCCCUCCCCUAUUUAGACCACGGCAUAAAAACAAAACCAGCCCCUUCCUCGGGGCCAAGAGAAUUUUGAGCAUUACAUGCCUCUUGGUUGCUGGCUAAUAAAGGACUCCUUAAUUUGUCUCAAAGUGUGGCGUUCCUCUAUAACUCGCUUGGUUACAACAGUCCACACUGUGGCCUGAGGUGCAUCGCCCACCUGAGCUUCAUCUGUUAUGUAUGUCAGGGAAUAUAAGCAGGGUGAGAGUGGCCUCAUCAGAGGACCCCAGAUCUCUGGCUUACCCAUCUGGCAAGCGCACCUCUGUGAGCAAAGACUUCAGAGCCAGAUGACAAGAACGGCCCAAGCAGUCCACCAGGGAAACCUGGGCCCAGUGUACAUCAAUGCAGAGCAUCAAGCAUGGCGUAACAGGUGCACAGUUGCCUACUCCUGUUCAGAGAUGACUGCAUCCCACAUACCGUAAAAUGAGGAAAUGCAGAGAAGCAGAAGUAACUGAAGAAGACAGCAGAAGCAACAAGGAGGGACAACCAGGACCUAGGAGGGCACCAUGCCAGAGACGCCUGGACCCCACGCUAGGCUCAGUGCCUGUUAUACUCUUGGGAUCCAGCACUUUCCCUCUCCAUCACAUGGCAUACUUGCCAUUAUUUGUUGUGUAAAAUAUUGUCCUUAGUUUUCACCUUUCCUAGGAGACACAGGCAGAGCCUGUGACACUACAGCUUCUGGCACACAGUAGGUAGGUGCAUCACAAACAUCUGCUGAGUUCACACACUCUUGCCUUCUCAAACCUUCCUGUCAAGUCUUCAGUGAAAAGGAAUUGCUGAUUGAGCAAGAAUUAAACUUCUAGAGACUCCUGGAUCCACUGAAGUUUGAGACAAGCUCUAGUCAGGAAGUGUUAGAGAGUUCUAAACAGGAAAUGUUCCAACACACCAUCUAAGCAUGAAGCAGGAGACACCCAUAAUUGAGUUUGCUGCCACCAACCCCAACAGCAAGAAUUCCAGUCCUGCUGCUGCAAAUUCUCUUUUGGAGUCUUUCUUGCAGUUGCGGUUGCUUGGCUGCUGCUGAAGUCACCUGAAAGCUCAAUUAGGCUAAAGAGUCUAGACGGGUCACUUACAUGGUUGGCAGUGCAUAUUGGCUGCUGAGUGUGAUGCCUAUCUGACCUCUCCAUGUUACCUGGAGUGCUCAUAACGUGGUAGUUUGUCCCAAGACACACAGGCAAAUACUAUAAAGCUUCUUAGGACCUAGCCUUGGAGGUCCUAGAACAAGACUUCUGCUCCAUCCUUUUGGAAAAGCAAGUCAUUGUGACCAGCACAGAUUCAAGAAAUGGGAGAUUCGACUCUGCCUGUCAAUGUAAACAGCAGCAUGUGCAUGCAGGGAGGAAAGAAAUCGAGGGCAUCAUCUAGAAGACUAUCAUAUCACACCAUUAUUCCAACUAAUGAACAUUAUGUUUUAGAUGGGUAGUACUAGCUACUCAUCUCUCCCCCAGAAACCCAAGCUAAGCAUGGACAUAUUGAAGAGAAUGUCAGCACCAUUAAAAAAAAACUCUAGAAAAAUCACAUGUGAUGACUGAGGUUAAUUCAGUCUGUCAAUUACAUCAAUAUAAUUGCCUUCUUGUAGCCCUAAGUAUGGUGAAGCAGAAUUGAAUUCUACAAAAGUCUUUCAUCUGUUUUCCUAUGGAAUAAUUAACAAACCCAAUAAAUGUAUAAAUAGCA